GACGAACGCUGGCGGCGCGCCUAACACAUGCAAGUCGAACGAGCGAGAGAGAGCUUGCUUUCUCAAGCGAGUGGCGAACGGGUGAGUAACGCGUGAGGAACCUGCCUCAAAGAGGGGGACAACAGUUGGAAGCGACUGCUAAUACCGCAUAACACUUUAGAAUCGCAUGAUUCAGAAGUCAAAGCUUUAUGUGCUGAAAGAUGGUCUCGCGUCUGAUUAGCUAGUUGGUGAGGUAACGGCUCACCAAGGCGACGAUCAGUAGCCGGUCUGAGAGGAUGAACGGCCACAUUGGGACUGAGAUACGGCCCAG
rnacentral:rRNA from 1 species